GCGAUGCCGAUGCGCAAUGUUACCUUCGCAUCGUGGUAAUCGUCAGAAGUGUUACUUAGUAACGUAAUCGUACGAUGCCUACCUUAAUCGUGCAGGUCUCUGGUAUGUACCCAGCAAACAUAUUGGCAAGCGUUUUGUAAAUUAAGAUUGCAGUAAGCUUGCAUAAAUAAGAGUUUUGCGAAUGUCGUUGACAAUUUGUUUGCAAAUGCAAGUGUUUUGCGGACGUAGUUGACAAUUUACUUGCAAAUGCAAGUGCUUUGCGAACGUCGUUGACAAUUUGCUUGCAAAUGCAAGUGUUUCAUAAAUUUAAGCAAAACGUGUAGUUCUCGCCGCAAAAGAUUGUGCUAAUAAGUUGUGUUAAUAAAUUAUGUAAAAUUGUUCUUAAAGUUGUUAAAUUAAGUGCGUUUGAUACUUUUAAUUAUCAUUUGCUAUUAAAAAAGUUAAUAAUCUACUUAUUUAAUGUCUGCAGCAAAAAAGAAGAAAAGUGUUGUGCGCAGCAGCUUCGAAAUUUUUGAACAUCUAUGGAACGGUGCGGCUACAAGUUCGGUAAGUACCCAGAGUGAAUUUGUGGAACAGGAGGUUGUGCCUGAAGCACAGAAUAAUUUAGAUUCCUUGUUGCCAAAUGAUGAUUAUAUUUCUGAUGAAAGUGAGAACUCGUCCGAUGGCACCGUUAUUGAUUUCAAUAAACGUUUAGCUGCAUGGUUUGUAGAGAGCAAUGUGCCCAAUGUGCAUGCUAAUAAAUUAUUGGACUUAUUAAGCGACAAAAUUGAAGGUCUACCAAAAGAUAUCAGAACGCUAAAACGUACGCCGACUGAUGCUCCAGUUGUCUCCUUAGCAGGUGGAGAAUAUGCCCAUUAUGGCUUGAAAGACUGUUUGACAGAUUUUUUGCGGGAAUAUAAAGUGCAUACAAAUAUUUUAGAAUUGAACUUUCACAUCGAUGUAUUGCCAAUUUCGAAAAGUUUGCUGAAGAGCGUGUGGCCUAUUUUAGUGAAUGUAAAUGGGACGGAUUCAGUUUUCGUGGUUGCUAUUUUUUGUGGACGGUCUCAUCCCAAUGAUGUGAAUAAGUUUCUGGCACAAUUUGUCGAUGAGUUGAACGAUCUUCUCCAAAAUGGAUUCUCAUACGAAAACAAAACUUUUGUAAUAAAAUGUCGAGCAUUUAUUCUGGAUGCACAAGCUAGGGCACUUAUGCUUAGAGUCAAAGGACACGCAGGCUAUAGUUGCCGCACAAAGUGCGUUCAGAGGGGCGAACGGAAAGAGAAUCGUAUUAUAUUCCAUUAUCAAAAUCAUCCUUUGCGCACAAAUAUAAAUUUUCGGCAAAGAACUGAUGUCAGCCAUCACAACCAGCAAAGUUCUUUGGAGAUUGAAAAACUUCCAAUCGACGUGAUCCAAGUAUUCGCUCUAGAGUACAUGUACGUGGUGUGUUUAGGUGUAAUGAAGGCUUUGCUUGGAUCCUGGAUAAAAGUUAAAAAUCGCAAUUAUUCUUUGCAACAAUAUGAUAUCCGAAAACUAAACACAGUAUUUCAAUCCAUUGCGCGUUACAUACCAAGAGACUUUUGUAGGAAACCACGGGAUUUAAAAGAGAUAGACCGCUUCAAAGCAACGGAAUUCCGUCAGUUCCUUUUGUAUACAGGCCAGGUUGUGCUAAAGGACAUAUUGAGCGAACAGAGGUACAUUCAUUUUUUGCAACUUAGUCUUUCAAUGCGAAUUCGCCUCAAUGCUGAAGAUUGUGUACAAAAUAACAAAUGCGCAGAGGCGCUGAUAAAGGAUUUUUUACUCAGAGUCCCUAUUUUAUAUGAUGAUUUAAUGUUAACAUAUAAUUGCCACUGUUUGAGUCAUUUGGUCAGAGAUUCCAUGCACUUUGGAUCACUAGAUACAACCAGUGCUUUCAAGUUUGAAAAUAAAUUAGGAAAAAUUAAGAAACUAGUUAAGAAAAAAAUAAUGUUCCGUCCCAAAUUUACAACAGACUAGAUGAGCAGAGUGUACAUGGAAAUUAUCAUACAAAUAUUGUUUCUAAAAAAUAUACAGUACAAAGUGAUGGCACUUACAAAUUUGUUAAAACUUAAAACUUUUAUUUAUCAUCUAUUGCACCUGAGAACUUUUAUUUAGUACAAAAAUUAAUUUUCAAACUUAUUUUCAUAUCCAGAUCUGCUGAUAACGAUUUUGUACUUCAUGGGCUAAGGGUACAAGACUUACAUUACUUAUAUGAUAAGCCACUUCAAUCAUCGCUUUUUAAUAUUUACCGUGCCGAAAAUCUCAGUUUUAACAAAACACUGAAUCACAUCCAAAGUUAUAUGCUUCUACACCAGAUCGUCUUAUAUAUUUGUGCCACUCAUAACAGAUCAUGUCGCAGAACAAUCUCAAUUACAUCGUCGACCCCAUUAAUGAUGACAUCGCAUCCUCACAAACUAUUUAUGUGAUGCAACCAAGUCCAAGCACAACAACAACUUCUUUGGAUAGUGCAACGUCGUCGGGUAAGAUAGUAUUUAUUUUUAAAGGAUACUUUUAACAUAACACCGCGACACUUUUCUCAUAUUUGUUUUAUAUUUUUUUCGGCAGCAAUUCAAUCAGUAAUCAUCGACGCAUGUCAAAAGGCUGUUGAAGAGGUGGAUGAAAAAAAUAAGCUAAUAUUGUUGCGCCUAACAGAAAACGUUGAGGGGAUGCGCAAGGAAAUCAUUGAUCUUAAAAAAGCGGUAUCACAUAAUAACGCUACUAUUAUACCAAGCAAGCCGUAUGCUAAUAUUGAAGACUUCCUCAAUUUUGAGAAAACUUUUCUGGAAGAUAUUGAUAAAUUUUCCUUGCUGAAGGCAGAUCUAAAAAGAUGGUCAACAUCCAAUUCGAGAAAAUUUGUUACGAAAGCGGGGCAGAAGAUUAUGACUGACAACGUUGCUGAGAGCUUUUCCUGGCGAGGAACUGCAGAUAAGAAGUGCAUUAGGGCCUUCACUGUCGCCACUGCUAUUCAGCGUAAGUAAAAUACGUUUAAAAGGUUUCUAGUUACAUUUCUAUAUUCAUAUUUAAAUUCUAUUGCAGAAACUUUCGCUGAAAAUGGAGGCAAGGAAGAGGACUUUGUGUUUGCCUCUAAGUCAUAUUUGCAGUACGUAAUAAAUCUUAUUAAAAUUAAAACAACAAAAAAAGUAAACUAAAAUACUAAGUAGUAAUGAUUUUUUAA